GGCUCCGCGGCACGUGUGGGUUAAUGUUGACUGGUUUUAACAGGGCGUUUUCUGGUUUUGAAAUAAUUGCCGACCUCACUUGGAUCGAGUGCCAAAAUAACAGCCAAAUCACCGAGAGUGACUACCCUUCAAACAAAGAAGCACUGGAUGGACAUCAAAAUUAUUUGGAAUGGCCUAAAGGUGACCGAGAAUGGUGUCGAGGACACAGGUUUGGAAGAUACUGUUGAAAAGGC